UACGUAGGGUGCAAGCGUUACUCGGAAUUACUGGGCGUAAAGCGUGCGCAGGCGGUGCUGUAAGCCAGUUGUGAAAUCCCCGGGCUCAACCUGGGAACUGCAUCUGUGACUGCAUCGCUGGAGUGCGGCAGAGGGGGAUGGAAUUCCGCGUGUAGCAGUGAAAUGCGUAGAUAUGCGGAGGAACACCGAUGGCGAAGGCAAUCCCCUGGGCCUGCACUGACGCUCAUGCACGAAAGCGUGGGGAGCAAACAGG
rnacentral:rRNA from 1 species